GUGGAUUAGAUACCCUGGUAGUCCACGCCCUAAACUAUGUCGACUGGUUGUUGGGGGUUUGACACUCUCAGUAACGAAGCUAACGCGUGAAGUCGACCGCCUGGGGAGUACGGCCGCAAGGUUAAAACUCAAAGGAAUUGACGGGGACCCGCACAAGCGGUGGAUUAUGUGGAUUAAUUCGAUGCAACGCGAAAAACCUUACCUACCCUUGACAUGUCCUGAAGCCUGGAGAGAUCCGGGUGUGCCCGAAAGGGAACGGGAACACAGGUGCUGCAUGGUUGUCGACAACU
rnacentral:rRNA from 1 species